rnacentral:rRNA from 1 species
UGGGUAGGUAAGUAAGGAGUAGGAGUUCACAAUUACCUUGAUGGCCACUUUUAAGUACACCGGCGGUUAGGCAAGUAACUGGGGGUCAGCAGACGUGAUGUGGAUCUCCCCAUCUCUGGUCUGGUGUGUCGCGGACUGGGAGGACCGCCUCGAGGAAGAAGCCCGUUGGUUUGCGCUCUCCCGAUCUCUUCCCUCUUCGGGCCCAAAGGGGUAACGGAGGCGACACCUCUCCUUAGAAGGUAGGGACCUCCUUGAUAUAUAAGUGUCUACACCGUUGGAAUGUAGUUAUCAGAGCCUUCGUUCAUCAUCAUCGUCGCCCUCGUCGCCACCGCAAGUUCCUAAGAGUAGGGAACGAUUCUAUCUAUAAUGUCCAACGUGAGUUAAUAACUCGAAACUACUUAAAGACUUCGGUCUAACAGAUGGACGGCACUUCUAGUAACUGCAAAGGUUAAUGGAAACACUUCUCAACUACAGGGAGAGACAACUAUCCGAGCUGCCCAACGUUCUCGACUUUUAAGUUAGUACAGAAAAGUUCAAUUUAUACUAUAAUGGUAGGAGAGAAUUCUUCGAGCUAAACCGAACGACACUGCCGUAUCUUAGGUAGUUGGAGCGGUUAUCGGACAACCCUUCAAGAGGUCAUGAACUCCUUGAAUCGUAAUACACCACAGGUCCGGAGUUCAGGUAACCACCACGUCGUCGACAACUAUUUUAUUUCUUUCACUUGUAUCACCCCACGGGGCUCGAGUACCUUUAUGUUGUCGGAGAGACAGCGACGGACCAACCGUGACGACUACUACUCUAGUCUUGAACCGUGCCGUAUGUGCCCCUUGUCCAAGGUGGCCCGUAUAUCGCGUGUCUCCACCUGCCGCCGCAGAAGCGUCUCCUCUUACUGCCGCCGAACGCGCUCUUGUACGACAACCUCCUCGGGCUCCUAUUGUUUAAUUCCAGUUAAACUACAAGGUUACCGAACGAUAGGACAUAGUCAUUAUGAUGUAUCGUCGUCGUGUCAACGAACGAUAGACAGUUCCGUCUCAUCUUCAACUCGGAACUCACUACAGUAAAACACACAUGGACAUGAAUAUAAAGAGGUGGCUUCGUACAAAAAGCACCUCUUUAAUAUUAAGGACAAGGAUCAGAACAGGACCAUCUAGGUACUUUCUGCGUCGUGGACAAGCAGGAAACGAUUAAGAAACCAAUAAAUUUACUUUACCGUUUGAUUUAUAUCAUGGG